rnacentral:misc_RNA from 1 species
GUGAAAGUCACCGUUGCUGCCACGGCAUUCGUCAUCAUUUCUUACUGGUUCUUUGCAGCCGGCGGCGAUGCUAACGCUGGUGGUCGUGUUGCCGUCGAUGAUGAUUCUGGUGUCGUCGAUGAUAAAGACAAGAUAGGCCAGUUAAAAGGAGACCCUCCAACUAAUUCUGCAUACAUAAUCAAGGUUGAACUGUUAGCUGCUAAAAAUCUAAUUGCUGCUAAUUUGAAUGGUACAUCAGAUCCAUAUGCAAUCAUCACUUGUGG